AUGAAACCUCUUCCAGGACCGUAAUAGUAGAAGACCAGCGUGUCCAAUCACCAGAACCUGAGGCCAAAAAGGGGUUUGUGUACGUGAAGGAGUAUGUCAAUGCAACAGAGCUGUCCUUGCAUAAUGUCAGAGACAAUACCGAUGGUGGGUCAGAUUAUUUGACAUCAAGCUCCACCAGUUACUCUUACAGCAGCCCCUCCACCUACUCCAGUGGCUCGUUGUCAUCCGUCUGCAACUUCUGCGAAGAACAGGUGGGAGGUGAUGCCAAGAUCACCAUCGAGCACCUCAAUAUCAACUGCCACCCCAACUGCUUCAAGGUAGUUCAUCAGUCUGCUCAGAUACAUUUCGGUAUUUAUUGGACUAUAAAAAGUAAUUGAAGUGACUGAGCUUAGUUAAGCGUAAACACUGUAAU
rnacentral:lncRNA from 1 species